UGACUUCACCGAGUUAAAAGUGUGACAACUUGCCCCAGUGUCAGAAUACAUCAGCUGACACUCGACUGUCUGCGUGUGUUAAACAUGAUUUAUCUGAAAGGGUUCUGAAUUUACACCAUUUUUGGCAGCAAUGCAAAUAAUAAUAAUAAAUCUGUUUUUUCCCAAAGCAGAGAGAAUAAAGGUUAAUGGACUGGAGAUGAUGUGUGACGGACCGGAUCUGAAGAUUCAGAAACAACUGAACAACAAAAACCAGGAGAACAGAGAGAAAAACUCACAAUCUAAAGAAUUAAAGAAGAAAAGAUCCAUGAUGUUUCAUCAACAGGACAGUGUGGAUCCAAAAAGACCAAACUUUUGUCAUGAUGAAGCUGUAGAGAGUCAUUCACUGACAGAUGAAAUAUAAACCACUGACAGAAACUACUGACGUGUGCAGCUGGAACUGAUG